AUGGCUAGUAAUUGGAGUUUUAGACAAUUUGGGGAGGUAAUUUGUAGCCAAUAUCCUUGGGGUUUGCUUGAUGAAGUGGUAUACAAAUACUAUGAUGGGGAAAAGAAUUGGGUGACAGUUAGUAAUGAUGAAGAGCUAGCUACCAUAUUUGUUAGGCAUAAAGAGAAAGAUAAUUUUCAUGUGAGGCUGCAAGUUGAUGUGCUUGAGCAGGCAUUUGGACCUAGGAUGGCGGGUGCAACAUCUGGGGAGAAUCAAGUCGUCGUAAUGGCAUCUCUAGCCAGAACAGUUCAGUUGGUGCACGGCGACGUGGUGGCCCGACAAGUGUGGGCAACAGCAGUAGGGUCCCCCUUGAAGUGGAGCCUGAUGGCUACUAUUCUGGGGUUGAUGAAGAGAAGUUAUAUUCUGAUGUUAUUCAGAAUUUACGACGGGCACCUCGGGCUGAAAACCAAGAUGAGGCUCACAAUGCAGUCCGUGUGGAUGAUGACACGAUGGGUGAGGACGAAGACCUUGCAGCUGUUGAAUGGGACCCUUUGA
rnacentral:rRNA from 1 species